UCGAACGGUAACAGGAAGCAGCUUGCUGCUUCGCUGACGAGUGNCGGACGGGUGAGUAAUGUCUGGGAAACUGCCUGAUGGAGGGGGAUAACUACUGGAAACGGUAGCUAAUACCGCAUAACGUCGCAAGACCAAAGAGGGGGACCUUCGGGCCUCUUGCCAUCGGAUGUGCCCAGAUGGGAUUAGCUAGUAGGUGGGGUAACGGCUCACCUAGGCGACGAUCCCUAGCUGGUCUGAGAGGAUGACCAGCCACACUGGAACUGAGACACGGUCCAGACUCCUACGGGAGGCAGCAGUGGGGAAUAUUGCACAAUGGGCGCAAGCCUGAUGCAGCCAUGCCGCGUGUAUGAAGAAGGCCUUCGGGUUGUAAAGUACUUUCAGCGGGGAGGAAGGUGUUGAGGUUAAUAACCUCANCAAUUGACGUUACCCGCAGAAGAAGCACCGGCUAACUCCGUGCCAGCAGCCGCGGUAAUACGGAGGGUGCAAGCGUUAAUCGGAAUUACUGGGCGUAAAGCGCACGCAGGCGGUCUGUCAAGUCGGAUGUGAAAUCCCCGGGCUCAACCUGGGAACUGCAUUCGAAACUGGCAGGCUAGAGUCUUG
rnacentral:rRNA from 1 species